UGGGUUGUGGCUCAGUGGCAGAGCUCUUGCUUCACACGUGAGUGACUGAGUUCGUUCCUCAGCAGCACAU
rnacentral:tRNA from 1 species